rnacentral:rRNA from 1 species
UAGUCCACGCCGUAAACGAUGGUCACUAGCUGUUUGGAUUUCGGUCUGAGUGGUUAAGCGAAAGUGAUAAGUGACCCACCUGGGGAGUACGAUCGCAAGAUUGAAACUCAAAGGAAUUGACGGGGGCCCGCACAAGCGGUGGAGCAUGUGGUUUAAUUCGAUGAUACGCGAGGAACCUUACCAGGGCUUAAAUGUAGGUUGCAUUAGCUAGAGAUAGUUAUUUCUUCGGACUACUUACAAGGUGCUGCAUGGUUGUCGUCAGCUCGUGCCGUGAGGUGUCAGGUUAAGUCCUAUAACGAGCGCAACCCCUAUUGUUAGUUACCAGCACAUAAAGGUGGGGAUGACGUCAAAUCAUCACGGCCCUUACGUCCUGGGCUACACACGUGCUACAAUGGUAGGUACAGAGGGGCAGCCACUGCGUGAGCAGGGAGCGAAUCCUUAAAAACCUAUCUCAGUUCGGAUCGGGAGUCUGCAACUCGACUCCGUGAAGCUGGGAAUCGCUAGUAAUC